GCUUACGGCCAUACCACCCUGAACCGACGUCCGAUCUCGGAAGCUAAGCAGGGUCGGGCCUGGUUAGUACUUGGAUGGGACGACCGCCUGGGAAUACCAGGUGCUGUAGGCU
rnacentral:rRNA from 1 species